rnacentral:rRNA from 1 species
CAGCUCUCCGAGUGGUAGGGAUGAUUAUUGGGCUUAAAGCGUCCGUAGCCGGCUUAGCAAGUCUCCUGUUAAAUUCAGCGACCUAAUCGUUGAGCCGCGGGAGAUACUACUAGGCUAGGAGGCGGGAGAGGUCGACGGUACUUCUGGGGUAGGGGUGAAAUCCUAUAAUCCCGGGAGGACCACCAGUGGCGAAGGCUGUCGACUAGAACGCGCUCGACGGUGAGGGACGAAAGCUGGGGGAGCGAACCGGAUUAGAUACCCGAGUAGUC